AUGGAUUUGACCAUGGGAGGAGGGAGGGUGGCCUGGAAGGGAACUGAUGGUCUGUCUGUUUGUCUGUCCGUGGCCUGUCUGUCUCUCUCCCUAUUCUCUAUCACAGGGGCUGGUCUUGGAGGCCUGGGAGGAGGAGGACUGGGACCUGGAGGGAAGCCACCCAAGCCAGGCGCCGGGCUGCUGGGGACAUUUGGGAUCGGUCCUGGUGGCCUCCCUGGUGGUGCCACCGCCGGGGCAGGGAUCGGGGCCUUUCCUGCAGGCACCUACCCGGGGGCUCUGGUGCCUGGCGGAGCGGCUGGUGCUGCUGCUGCUGCUGCUGCUGCUGCUUAUAAAGCUGCCAAGGCUGGGGCCGGGCUUGGUGGCAUCGGAGGGCUUGCUGGUGUUGGCGGAGUUGGCGGAGUCGGAGGACUUGGUGGCGUUGGUGGCUUAGGAGUGUCUACAGGUGCCGUGGUCCCUCAGGCCGGAGCAGGUGUUGGAGUAGGAGCUGGAGGGAAGCCAGGGAAAGUUCCAGGUGUGGGGCUCCCAGGUGUGUACCCAGGUGGAGUGCUCCCAGGCACAGGAGCUCGCUUCCCUGGAGUAGGGGUGCUCCCUGGAGUCCCCACUGGAACUGGAGUCAAGGCCAAGACCCCAGGUGUAGGCGGAGCUUUUGCCGGAAUCCCAGGUGGCUAUGGACUGCCCUACACCAACGGGAAGCUUCCCUAUGGAGUGCCUGGUGCAGGGGGCAAAGCUGGUUACCCCACAGGGACAGGGGUUGGCUCCCAGGCAGCAGCUGCGGCAGCUAAAGCAGCCAAGUAUGGUGCUGGAGGAGCCGGAGUCAUCCCUGGCAUCGGAGGGGGUGGCAUUCCUGGCGGAGCUGGCACCAUUCCUGGGAUUGGGGGCAUCGCAGGGGUGGGGACUCCUGCGGCAGCUGCUGCUGCGAAGGCUGCUGCAAAGGCUGCAAAGUACGGAGCUGCUGGAGGCCUAGUGCCUGGUGGGCCAGGAGUUAGGGUCCCAGGUGUUGUGGUCCCAGGUGUCGGGAUCCCAGGCAUUGCAGAUGGAGCAGGGCCUCUGGGGCCAGCUGCAGCUGCUAAAGCAGCGGCCAAAGCAGCUAAAUAUGGGGCCCGGGCUGGAGUAGGAGUCGGGGGCAUCCCCACCUAUGGGGUCGGGGCCAGGGGCUUUCCUGGCUAUGGCAUCGUACCCGGAGUCGGGGUCGGACCUGGAGUUGGGGUCAUACCCGGAGUAGGAGUUGGAGUUGGAGGUGUCCCUGGAGCUGGCCUUUCCCCAGCCCAGGCCGCCGCUGCUGCCAAAGCUGCCAAGUAUGGUGCAGCAGGAGCUGGAGCCCUGGGAGGUCUGGUGCCAGGUGCAGUACCAGGUGCAGUACCAGGUGCAGUACCAGGGGCAGUACCAGGAGCAGUACCAGGGGUAGUACCAGGAGCAGUACCAGGAGCAGUACCAGGGGCCAUACCAGGUGCAGUACCAGGUGUGCUAGGCACCAAAGGAGUGCCAGGAGCAGGGACCCCAGCAGCUGCAGCCGCUGCUGCAGCCGCCAAAGCAGCUGCCAAAGCUGGCCAGUAUGGGUUAGGCCCUGGGGUCGGCGGGGUUCCAGGUGGCAUAGGCGUCGGUCCUGGUGGUAUCGGUGUUGGUCCUGGUGGCCUUGUGCCUGGUGGUGUUGCCCCUGGUGUCGGCACCGGGCUUGGACCUGGUGGUAUUAUAGGAGCAGGGACCCCAGCUGCAGCCAAGUCCGCUGCUAAAGCAGCUGCCAAAGCCCAGUACCGGGCCACUGCCGGGCUGGGUGUUGGAGUUCCUGGGUUUGGAGCUGGUGCCGGGGUUCCCGGAUUCGGAGCUGUGGCCGCACCAGGCUCCCUGGCCGCCGCUAAAGCAGCCAAAUACAGAGCAGCAGGGGCUGGGGCUCUUGGAGGACUUGGAGCUUUUGGAGGACUGGGGCCUCUGGGCGGACCCGGGGCCCUGGCAGGAGCAGGUAUCCCUGGUGGUGUGGCAGGCAUCGGGCCUGCUGCCUCGGCUGCUGCCGCCAAAGCUGCCCAGUACGGCCUAGGGGGUGCCGGUGGGCUCGGAGCCGGAGGGCUGGGCGCUGGAGGACUGGGAGUUGGAGGACUGGGAGUCGGGGGACUCGGAGCCGGAGGACUGGGCGCUGGUGGACUUGGGGGUGUGUCCCCAGCUGCAGCUGCUAAAGCAGCCAAAUACGGUGUGGCACCCAGACCUGGCUUUGGAUUGUCCCCCAUUUACCCAGGUGGUGGUGCUGGGGGCCUGGGAGUCGGCGGGAAGCCCCCCAAGCCCUACGGAGGGGCCCUGGGCGCCCUUGGAGCCCUCGGAUACCAAGGUGGCCCCUGCUUGGGGAAAUCCUGUGGCCGGAAGAGGAAGUGAGCUUCCGGGGGGACCCCUGACUCUCGACCUCAUCAACGUUGGUGCUACUGCUUGGCGGAGAAUGUAGACCCUCAGAAACCCCACCCACCCAUCCCCACCCGGGAGGCGGCCUCGGACAGGACAAGAAAACAAGAGCAGGGUGGCCAUGGGCCCCAACCGCGAGGCCCCACUUCAGAGGCCCUGAGUGGGUGGGCUCAGCUCCUCCGCAGCCCCUUCCCACCUGGGAGUUCCCCCCACAGUCUCCAUCUCUGGGAAAAUUGGUGCUACACCCUGGUGCUCUCGUCUUCCUGGGGAGGAGGAGGGAAGGGGAGCCCUGGGGACACCCUCCCUCUCCGGGGCUCCUCUGAAGAAUGGUGCCUACAUUUCCUGGGCAGUGCCACCUCCCCCUGCCCAUCAGGAGCCACCCCUGGCUGCGGUCCAGUUGGUACCCAAGCACCGGAAACCUAAAGCUGGAUUCAGUCACUCUGUCCCCUCCCCUCUGCCCGUGGCUGUUCCCCACAUCCGGGGCACCUUCGUGUCAGAAGACCCCAUACAUACAACACUGGGAAUGGCCCCCUUGCUCUCAUGGAGCCACCUGCCCGUCUGUCCAUCCUCCCAUCCUCCCAGCCUCGUCGCCAGUCCACUGCCCAGUGCCUCUAACUGGCUGAGCACACCUGUCGUGGCAGCCUGCAACCAGCCCCCAACCCCCCCACACCCCAACGCUAGCCCAGGGUGUGAGGGGCCAUGCGGGCUGGGGGAACAGGACUCCGCUCCCCAGCCCGGAUCUCUCCACACGCAGUACUGUACCCCCGACCCUCCCUUGAGCCACCGUAACUACAGAGCAUGUCUCACCCCCCCAUUUCUUUGUGUCUCGCUGUGAUAGAUCAAUAAAUAUUUUAUUUUUUGUCCUGGAUAUUUGGGGAUUAUGUUUGAUUGUUGAUGUUCUCUUUGGGUUUUAUUUUUGUGCUGAUCUGGGGAGCUGUAACUCAGUAGAAAUUUCAUUUUAAUCACUCUGGUAUAACUCUGGAUGGAACACAUUUUUUUAAAAAAUAAGAAAGAGAAUUAACUGCUUCAGAAAAGACUAAUAAAUGAAAACCUUUUAAAGGAAACGGUCUUGGGCUCCUUUGUGUUUUUCCAUCUGGCCUAGUGGAGAGCAGGGCUUCACUGGGGGGACCUUGACCAUGCAUCAUGUGCUGGGGAGGCUGCUGACCCCAGGCACCCACUGUGGGCAUCCAGGUUUUCGGUCCUUCCCCAAGCUCCACUUGUCUUUUAACAAUGACCUCCAUAACCCGGGUGUAGUGCCGUGGGCCUGGAAUCCCACCACUCGGGAGGCUGAGGCAGGAGGAUUGUGGUAAAUUUGAAACCAGC
rnacentral:lncRNA from 1 species